UGUUAAAAAUUUCAUCCAUUUCUACCGUUGAAAACUUACGUAAUCGACAGAAUAAUCAAAAUGUUACACAUGAUGUGUCACGUGCACCUCAUUUUAAUAUAUAAAGACCAGUUUUUAACAAUAGAAAUGGAUAAAAAUUUUAACA
rfam:Gossypium raimondii Chr05_contig_1298, whole genome shotgun sequence.